AUUGAACGCUGGCGGCAGGCUUAACACAUGCAAGUCGAGCGAGAGGCGGACGGGUGAGUAAUGUCUGGGAAACUGCCUGAUGGAGGGGGAUAACUACUGGAAACGGUAGCUAAUACCGCAUACCAUCAGAUGUGCCCAGAUGGGAUUAGCUAGUACGUGGGGUAAUGGCUCACCUAGGCGACGAUCCCUAGCGGGUCUGAGAGGAUGACCGGCCACACUGGAACUGAGACACGGUCCAGACUCCUACGUGAGGCAGCAGUGGGGAAUAGUGCACAAUGGUCGAAAGCCUGAUGCAGCCAUGCCGCGUGUGUGAAGAAGGCCUUAGGGUUUUAAAGCACUUUCAGCGAGGAGGCGUUACUCGCAGAAGAAGCACCGGCUAACUCCGUGACAGCAGCCGAGGUAAUAC
rnacentral:rRNA from 1 species